UAGUAGGCCAAAUUUUCCCAGGCCCAAAACCAAUUAAAUGUCCAUAUAAAAUAAUCCAAAUGUCCAAAUCACAAAAAAAAAACGUAAAGCCCAAAUGGCCCAAAACCUAAACCUACUUUCAGCAGACUAGAAACCCUAGCCACAUGAUCAGUCGCCUUAGCUCUUCCACAUCAGCAAGCAUGCAUCUAUGCACGCCUCUACCACCGCCACCGUCAACCUCUGCCACCA
rnacentral:lncRNA from 1 species